AGAAGUGAAAGAAUCUGACUAGAAUCACGAUGAACUUCUGUGACCUUUAUCUGCUAACUCUGCAUUUGAGUGCUUAACAGUUGCAUGCAUACAGGACUUGUCACGAAGAAUGCACUUCAUCAUUGAAAUGUUAUGCUGAGACAUUAUUUCAGCAGUGGUAAUGCCUGAUGCAGCUUGUAUCCUGGUGCAUUAGCUACUGUUCAUCUAGAACUUCUGUGUGGUUUCCUGCUCCCAAUUAAAUCCUGUACACAAGCAGAGUAGUUUAGCUGCAUCACUGCUUUUUUGAUUGAUUCUUUCCUAGGUGGCCAGUUAAUCCCUCUGUUUGGAAUCUCGAUAAAGCUGGGCCUUCCCCUGUUGCCACAGCAAGUUCUGUGAUGAGUGGUCGUCCCUUGUUGUCACAGCAGCGGCAGUGCCUGUAUUCACAUCUCUGACUCCCAAAGGCAACGAGGAAGGCCAGGUAUGGUUCCAGCGGCUGAGGGAGGCCUAUCUCAGAAGUGCUGCAUGCCUUGCUCCUGGAGACCAAGGCAUGGAGGAAGGAGAAGCGAGGUUUGUUGACUGGCCAACAUAUCCCUACAAUGGCAGAAUCUUCAGAGGAGAUGGGCAAGAUGGCUCUUGAAGCCCAAGGAAGAACAGAGUGAACACAGCUGUUGUAAAGGAAGAAGAACUUAUCUCAAAACCAGGGGGACUGGAAGAGGGCUUUUUCAGUAAAUAAAUAUCUGUGUGAGUUGAGUGGGUCAUGGGUUGCAUAAAUGGUCUUACUUGAGUUCAUCAGAAGAGCAUGAAUGUCUUCCUGAGCCAGCCAGGCCAGCAUGGGGGAAGUGUCUAAGUGGCUCAGCCCAACACUGAGUGCAAACACUGAGCAAUCAAGAAAACUAACUUGGAAGAGAGCAACGGGCUUGUGCUGGCUUCAAGCCACAUACUCUGUCCUGGCAUUAGGGAUGCCCAGCAUCCUGACAGCAAGCAUAUAGAGACUGGUAACAAGAAUCACGUUUGUACUGUCAUUUAGCCAUAUUGCUAUUGCUAUAUUGUGCUCGUGUUGUGAUCUCAGUACAUUGCUGCAUCACUCUGCUACAUCAAGAUCCCAUGUAACAUCAAUUAUCUCCAAGUAAGUGAAUUAGGUAUUAAAAUAUUAAGCCCUCCUACUGUGGGCUAUCUGAAAGAGCCUGGUCAGAGAGUACUGGGCUCUGGCAGCUUGCCACUGCUCUCCCCAUGGGGCUGUUAGCUGCAUGGCUGUUCAUUGCCUCAGCACUAACUAAUCCCCUCUCUGAUCAAAGUUGA